UUCUGUGGACUCAGGCUAAACACAUUUCUGAACAACCCAUGCAGCAGCAAGUGGUGGGACCACUUUUCAUUCUAUUGCAGUGUCACUCAGACUUCUGACAGAAUGUCACACAGCAAACGGCUCCAUUCCUGGGGGGCACUAACAUCCACAAUGGAUUAGGGGAACAAGCUUGGAGCACCUUCACAGACUAGGAGACAGAAUGAUAGAAGCCUUCAAAUAUAUACAGAGAAGAUAAAAAGAGGAAGAAAAUAAACAAUUCUCCAUGUCCACAAGGGAGAUGCCAAGUAGUAAUGGGUUUAAACUGCAGUCAGGGAAAUCUAGGUUAGACAUUAGAAAAACUUUCCAGAGUAAGGAGAAAGAAGGCAUGGAAGAGAUUGCCUCAGGAUUUCAUGGAGUUUCUAGCAUCGAAGGACUCUCAGAACAGGCACAACAUCUGAUAAUGGAUAAGAGUGUGCAGUGCUGUAAUUAAAGACUGCGCAGUCAUGAAUGCACACAAGUGGACUGAAUCAGUGUUUGCCGUGCAGCUACUUUCAUCUCUCAUCUCCUACUGCCUGCGUGUUUGACUAGGAAACUCCUGUUCUUCACAGUUUCUUCUGUGUAUUACUCAGAAGUUGCUAGGAUGAGACAUCUUGCUAAUUUCAUAGAAAUCAGUGAGAGUUUGGGUGAGUUUACACUGCAAAGCAAUUCAGUUACAAAUAUAUUUGGAUUGUGUGCUAAUAAUAUAUGAAUAAUUUAUG